CCCGCCUGCCCAGUGAUCCUUAAACGGCCGCGGUAUCCUAACCGUGCAAAGGUAGCAUAAUCACUUGUCCCCUAAAUAGGGACUAGAAUGAACGGCUUUAUGAGGACUAACCUGUCUCUUGCAUUCAAUCAAUGAAACUGAUCUUUCAGUCCAAAAGCUGAAAUAACCACAUAAGACGAGAAGACCCUGUGGAGCUUAUUAAACUAAGUCCAUUAUUAUGCACACUUCGUUUUUAGUUGGGGCGACUUCGGAGUAUAAAAAAACCUCCGACACACUCAAGAGAUAGACAUAUCUUCCCACCCUCGACCCAGUAGCACCACCAGCUACCUGAUCAACGAACCAAGUUACCCCAGGGAUAACAGCGCCAUCCUCUUCAAGAGUCCCCAUCGACAAGAGGGUUUACGACCUCGAUGUUGGAUCAGGACACCCAAAUAGUGCACCCGCUAUUAAUGGUUCGUUUGUUCAACGAUUAAAGUCCUACGUGAU
rnacentral:rRNA from 1 species